rnacentral:rRNA from 1 species
UGGGGAAUUUUGCACAAUGGGGGAAAUCCUGAUGCAGCGACGCCGCGUGAUUUAGAAGGCCUUCGGGUUGUAAAAAUCUUUUCUAUGGGAAGAAAAUGACAGUACCAUAGGAAUAAGGACCGGCUAAUUACGUGCCAGCGGCCGCGGUAAUACGUAAGGUCCGAGCGUUGUCCGGUAUCAUUGGGCGUAAAGGGUACGUAGGCGGGUAAGCAAGUUAGAAGUGAAAUCCUAUAGCUCAACUAUAGUAAGCUUUUAAAACUGCUCAUCUUGAGGUAUGGAAGGGAAAGUGGAAGUCCUAGUGUAGCGGUGAAAUGCGCAGAUAUUAGGAGGAAUACCGGUGGCGAAGGCGACUUUCUGGCCAUAACCUGACGCUGAGGUACGAAAGCGUGGGUAGCAAACAGG